GGGCGUGUAGCUCAGCGGCAGAGCGCAUGCCCAGCACGCAGGCCGUGCUGGGUUCAAACCCCAGGACCUCCA
rnacentral:tRNA from 1 species